rnacentral:rRNA from 1 species
AGAGAUGUGUGAUGACGCAUAUCAAUAAGCGGAGGAAAAGAAACUAACAAGGAUUCCCUUAGUAACGGCGAGUGAAGCGGGAAGAGCUCAAAUUUGAAAUCUUCAAGGUUUACCUUGACGAAUUGUAGUUUAUAGAAGUGUUUUCUGUUAGGGAGUUUGGUAAAAGUUCUUUGGAAUAGGGACAUCGAUAGAGGGUGAGAAUCCCGUAUUUGGUACAUUCUUUCUAGCUUUGUGAGACACUUUCAACGAGUCGGAUUGUUUGGGAAUGCAGUCCAAAAUGGGUGGUAAAUUUCAUCUAAAGCUAAAUAUUGGCGAGAGACCGAUAGCGAACAAGUACCGUGAGGGAAAGAUGAAAAGAACUUUGAAAAGAGAGUUAAACAGUACGUGAAAUUGUCAAAAGGGAAGCGUUUGACACCAGUGUUGUUUUUCCGAAAAUCAAUUACGAAUGUUUUGUUUUUGAGGAGUUAUGACUUCAUCGGCUUGCUUCUCUCUUUACGAAACUUUCUUAAUGCACUUUUCGGUUAACAAGUCAACAUCAAUUUCUUUUGUUGUAAAAGGGUACGAGGAAGGUGGCUUUCUUUUCGGAGAAAGUGUUUAUAGCCUUGUGCCUCUGCAAUCGGAGAGAUUGAGGUCUGCAGCGUAGAUCCUUCGGGGUUAGAUACAUUUGUGCUAAGUUAUAGCUUUUCAUAGACAACUUGUCGACUAUGUUUAGUCUUGUAGCUUACUCGCUUAUGCUAUUUUACCUACGCUUAGGAUGUUGAAGAUGUAGCACAUCAU